rnacentral:sRNA from 1 species
UUAGCAUUGGGCAUAAGUGGUGCAGUAUUCUAGUUGACGUCCCUCUUUGAGAACGGGCCUAAAAAUCCGUUAAGGGCACAUCGAUGAAGUUCCUGGUGGUGGCUGCCGACGCCCAGUUGGGGGCUGCUGCUGGGAGUUAAGAAGGAUGGGGCGAUCUACAAUGGCAUGUAGGCGUUGACCCUGCCUUCGCGGAGACCCAGUGUCGGUGGCUGUUAGCUAUAAAGCGACGGUUACUGCCUGGGAAGAACCUGCAUGCGGUCACAAGCUGUGUGCAGCGUAGCCUGCCUUGAGUGGAAUGGGUGGAGGGAUUCAGAUCCUUAAACCCAUUCUGCAAAAGAGGCUAGGGGAGAUCAGACGUCAGGGAGGAAAUCUUCUAGACUGCUCUCGCAAGAGAAGUAAACCAGGGAUUAAAGUGUGAGCUAAGUGGUAAUCCAGUUCCGCUGCUGGCAACAGGGCGGGGAUGGUCUUAAAAGGGAACUGCCUGCUCGGCAACGACAGGUGACUGUUCGGGAAAUCCUGCUGGACCUAAGCCGCAAAGUUUACCUGGUUUACUACCACUUAUGUUUCUUUGUAC